rnacentral:ncRNA from 1 species
AGAUUGAGGCGCAGUUGAUAAUAGUAGCUGUAUAGAGCUUCCCGGCUUUGAUAUACAGUGAAAGGAGAAACUGCCGAAGUGUAAAAUUUUAUGGGGAUAGAUUUUAUGCUGGGAAUGCAGAUAAUAUCUGUAUAACUGUCACUAGGAUUUGCAGGAGUUCUAGUGUUGUGCUUUC